rnacentral:rRNA from 1 species
CCUACGGGUGGCAGCCGUGAGGGAUAUUGGUCAAUGGCCGAGAGGCUGAACCAGCCAAGUCGCGGGAGGGAAGAAUGUCCUAUGGAUUGUAAACCUCUUUUGUCAGGGAGCAAAGUCACCCACGUGUGGGUGUUGGAGAGUACCUGAAGAAAAAGCAUCGGCUAACUCCGUCCCAGCAGCCGCGGUAAUACGGAGGAUGCGAGCGUUAUCCGGAUUUAUUGGGUUUAAGGGGUGCGUAGGCGGGUUAUCAAGUCAGCGGUAAAAUCGUGGAGCUCAACUCGAUCCAGCCGUUGAAACUGAUGAUCUUGAGUGGGCGAGAGGGAUGUGGAAUGCGUGGUGUAGCGGUGAAAUGCAUAGAGAUGACGCAGAACUCCGAUUGCGAAGGCAGCAUACCGGAGCAAGACUGACGCUGAAGCACGAAAGCGUGGGUAUCGAACAGGAUUAGAUACCCUUGUAGUC